UGGGGAAUCUUCCGCAAUGGACGAAAGUCUGACAGAGCAACGCCGCGUGAACGAUGACGGCCUUCGGGUUGUAAAGUUCUGUUAUACGGGACGAAUGGCGUAGCGGUCGAAUACCCGUUACGAGUGACGGUACCGUAAGAGAAAGCCACGGCUAACUACGUGCCAGCAGCCGCGGUAAUACGUAGGUGGCAAGCGUUGUCCGGAAUUAUUGGGCGUAAAGGGCGCGCAGGCGGCGUCGUAAGUCGGUCUUAAAAGUGCGGGGCUCAACCCCGUGAGGGGAUGGAAACUAUUUUUCUUGAGUGCAGGAGAGGAAAGCGGAAUUCCUAGUGUAGCGGUGAAAUGCGUAGAUAUUAGGAGGAACACCAGUGGCGAAGGCGGCUUUCUGGACUGUAACUGACGCUGAGGCUCGAAAGCCAGGGGAGCGAAC
rnacentral:rRNA from 1 species